CGCAUCUGUGCAUGCAGCAUAUCAAUAAGCGGAGGAAAAGAAACUAACAAGGAUUCCCUUAGUAACGGCGAGUGAAGCGGGAAGAGCUCAAAUUUGAAAUCUUCAAGGUUUUACCUUGACGAAUUGUAGUUUAAAGAAGUGUUUUCUGUUGAAGUUUUGGUAAAAGUUCUUUGGAAUAGGACAUCAUAGAGGGUGAGAAUCCCGUAUUUGACCAUUAUUUUCAGCUGUGUGAUACACUUUCAAAGAGUCGGAUUGUUUGGGAAUGCAGUACCAAAAUGGGUGGUAAAUUUCAUCUAAAGCUAAAUAUUGGCGAGAGACCGAUAGCGAACAAGUACCGUGAGGGAAAGAUGAAAAGAACUUUGAAAAGAGAGUUAAACAGUACGUGAAAUUGUCAAAAGGGAAGCGUUUGACACCAGUGUUGUUUUCUCGAAAAUCAAUUAAAAAGAGUUUGAUUUUGUUGUGUAUUGACCUUAACAGCUUGCAUUUCAAUUUUCUUGCUUUUUUUAAUGCACUUUUCGUUUAACAAGUCAACAUCAGUUUCUUUUGUUGUAAAAAGGUCAUUGGAAGGUGGCUUUCUUUUCGGAGAAAGUGUUUAUAGCCUUUGACUCCUGCAAUCGGAGAGACUGAGGUCUGCAGCGUAGAUCCUUCGGGGUUAGAUACAUUUGUGCUAAGUUAUAGCUUUUUAUAGACAACUUGUUGACUAUGAUUAGUCUUGUAGCUUACUCGCUUAUGCUAUUUUACCUACGCUUAGGAUGUUGACACACGCGCGUGCUCG
rnacentral:rRNA from 1 species